AUUGGAUUGGGAUUGAGUCCUAGCGGGAAGGCGUUGUGCGAAAUCAUUGCUUAGAAGAGCAGGCCUUCCCAUAUCGAUCGGAGUUAAAGCAAAGAUGUGCCGGGCCGAAAUCCUAGGGAUCGUCGACGAGAUCGCGGCCCUCGUUUCUGAUAAGCUUCGAGUGAAAAAUGCUUUUGAAUGGGGUUUGUCCAUGGUACCGCACUCAGAUGAUGCCAUUCAAGUCACGCAGCAUGUAGCGAACUUCUUUGUCAGCUCAGCAUUUGUUCAGUAAUUUUUUGCUGCAAAGCAAGUUGCAUUUGAAAUUUCCUUGUCAAAGUUCUUAAAAUAUCAUAUGUCAUAGACGAUUAUGGUUAUAUGAUCUGCGCUUCUGGUUAAACUUCACUCAGUUUUAAGGGAAAAAAACUUCUAAUUCAAACUAGUCAUCCUUUAGUGAGGCUAGGAAAUCCGUAAACCAGGCUUCUGCUCGAAGAGUGCUCGACAAUCUGAUAUACAAUCACAGUCCCACCUAUUGUAGGAAAGCAGGGGGGGGAUAUGAUGAGGUUUGUAUCUUUACGUGACUGUGAAGUCCAAAUUUUCACGGGCAUCAAGUCUCUCACACGGAAGAAGGCGUUGUACUGAAUUGCUCAAGAUCAGAAAUUUGCUCUUAACGUAAAUGAGAUUAUGAGAUGUAUGGACAUUACUUUAGCAGAAACUAAUGGCAAAUGUUGAACAUUUUCCUUAGUUUAUCUGAACUUGAAGUGUGCUUGGUUUGUUGCCUGUAAAUUAAUUGAUGACUUCAUGUCCUGAUAAGACAAUUAAUGGACGAUCUAGGACG